CGUACGUACGUACGUACGUACGUACGUACGUACGUACGUACGUACGUACGUACGUACGUACGUACGUACGUACGUACGUACGUACUCUACUCUCUC
rnacentral:pre_miRNA from 1 species